UCAUCGAAUCUUUGAACGCACCUUGCACCCUUUGGUAUUCCAAAGGGUACACCCGUUUGAGUGUCAUU
rnacentral:rRNA from 1 species